rnacentral:rRNA from 1 species
UACGUAGGGGGCAAGCGUUGUCCGGAUUUAUUGGGCGUAAAGAGCUCGUAGGCGGUUUGGUAAGUCGGAUGUGAAAUCUCCAGGCUCAACCUGGAGGGGUCAUUCGAUACUGCCGGGCUAGAGUCCGGAAGAGGCGAGUGGAACUCCUGGUGUAGCGGUGGAAUGCGCAGAUAUCGGGAGGAACACCUGUGGCGAAGGCGGCCCCCUGGUUGGAUACUGACGCUGAGACGCGAAAGCGUGGGGAGCAAACAGG